rnacentral:rRNA from 1 species
UACAGAGGGGGCAAGCGUUGUUCGGAAUUACUGGGCGUAAAGGGCGCGUAGGCGGCCUGUUAAGUCGAACGUGAAAUCCCCGGGCUCAACCCGGGAACUGCGUCCGAUACUGGCAGGCUUGAAUUCGGGAGAGGGAUGCGGAAUUCCAGGUGUAGCGGUGAAAUGCGUAGAUAUCAGGAGGAACACCGGUGGCGAAGGCGGAUCUCUGGGCCGAUACUGACGCUGAGGAGCGAAAGCGUGGGGAGCGAACAGG